CAGGCCAGGUUCCUGAGAGCAGACAGCGCGGGCUGGGAGCGCCGGCAAGGGCGGCCCUCGCGCACCUGGCUGCCAGCCCGCAGGGGGCUCGCACGCAGACCUGCCCUUGCCACCUCAGCGCUCGGGUGCGGGCUGGGGGCGGUGGAGCCACGAAAGGUGGUGCCGAGAGCGGAGCGCAGGACAGCGCAGGAGCCCCGGCGCAUCGCGGCGCGCACAGACCCAGGAUUUGUGAAGAGGUGACCCAAAUUUCAAGACAAUGUUGGAUGCAAACGGAUUUGCCAGCAACUGCAUCACUGUCAAAACCAGCUCUGCCCGUGUCUUCCGAAGAUACCAAGUGAAAUACAUGUAGAUGGGAUUUACAUCUGAAAAACCAAGGCAAGAGGCCAUGGGAAGGGACGGAGGUGGAACAGGACUGGACAGAAGCUGAUAAAUGGUUGUUGCUGAGUACUGGGCAGAUAGGGGUUGGUUAUCCUAUUGUCUUUACUUUCAUAUAUUUUAUUUUUUCUGUAAUAAAACAAAUUAAAAUCACCUGUCGUGACCUCACAGGGGCCAGUGUGGGUUGUGGCGUGAGGCAGGAAGCUCUGCAGAGUUCCUUGGUCAAAAGGAUUAAUUACAAAAGAACUCCAUGAACACCGAGAAGAAGAGAAGGGAAUCCUGGCAUUUAAAGCCACAAAGAAACUUGAUAUGGUCUUGUCUCCUUCUCUCAAUUGACAGUGAGAAACUGAAGACCAGAGAGGGUGAGUGGUUUACUCAGUUUGGCACAACUGACCCCAACCUAGCCCUCCAUGAGGACUGAGCGCAUGAGAGAUCCUGAGCCACAGCCGCCCAGCCCUGCUCCUCUCGAAUUUCUGACCUACAGGAACUGCAAGAAGUAAUGAAAGACUGCUGUUUAAAGCCACUGCAUUUUGGCAUGAUUUGUUAUGCAGUCGUAGAUAACCAGAAAACAUCGGAUUUACAUUU
rnacentral:lncRNA from 10 species